ACUCAAACAUUCAAGCCUAAAACUCAAGCUCAACUGUCUUCUAAUGUCUAACACUGGCAUCCGCACUCAAACACACUCAAGCCUCAACUGUCUUCUAACCCCUAACACUGGCUUCUGCACUCAAGCCUCAACUGUCUUCUAAUGUCUAACACUGGCAUCUGCACUCAAACAGAUCCAAGCCUCAACAGUCAUAUUUCAUAUUGAACAUUCUAAAGUCAAUGAACCAGUCACAUGGUCUGCAGCGCCCCCCCCCCCCCAAUGCUUCAAGUACAUAGAGCUAAGGAAACUGCAAACCAAAUAAGACAUACACUUCAGGACAUAAAACGACACAUUAAAUAGAGGAGGCUUGAGAAGGUUGCUAUCUCCAACAGGACCAAGGGUCAAAUCCUGGCUUUGGGGACCCCGGCCUUAGGGUUUCAAUGGCCCAUCUUUAACUCCUGCUCUUCUCCCCAGGACUACAUGAUCGCCUUGUCACUCCAACAGCAGCAAGGGGGCACUCCGCUGAGUGACCUGGAGUUGGCCCAGCAGUUGCAGCAAGAGGAAUACCAGCAGCAGCAGCCGGCCCCGGCCCCCGGGUCCCCCGCCCAGGCGAGGAGCCCACCACCGACCCGACCGGCCGGAGAGCGCAGGCAGCGCCAGAAGCAGGAUUCGGACUGCGUUCUCCUAUAACGCCGACCCUUCGAGGCGGCAUUUGGGGUUCCCGACCUCCCGAAUUGAUUGGGGAGAAGAAGACUUGGGGUCGCGCUCCACGCAAGGGCUGAAACCAAAACUCCUAUUUAUCGGUGUUUCUAAUUGUCUCCUCCCUCUGAUUUCCACUUAUUAUUAAUUAUUUUGGGAAGAGAAGACGCGCGGAGGGGAAAUAUAUCCCAUCCUCUCGGGUGCAAAACGGGACUAAACCAUAUCCCCGUUCCCAGGACUCGAGGGAGCUUUGAGUCCCAAAAAAAGAGUAACUAUUUCAAGCUCGACCUUUUUCCCUUUCUUUCCGACCACCGAAGCCUUCCCCUAGAAGAGCCGAGAUACGAAGUUUUGUGGCCUCUGCAAAGCUAUCUAGUCACGAGAA
rnacentral:lncRNA from 1 species